GACGAACGCUGGCGGCGUGCUUAACACAUGCAAGUCGAACGGAGUUACGUAUGAAGUAUUUCGGUACGGACUAUGUAACUUAGUGGCGAACGGGUGAGUAACACGUGGGCAACCUGCCCUUAACCGGGGGAUAACAUUGUGAAAACAGUGCUAAUACCGCAUAACAGAGUAUCGGGCAUCCGAUAUUUUUAAAAGGAGCAAUCCGGUUUAGGAUGGGCCCGCGUCCAAUUAGCUAGUUGGUGAGGUAACGGCUCACCAAGGCUACGAUUGGUAGCCGAACUGAGAGGUUGAUCGGCCACAUUGGGACUGAGACACGGCCCAGACUCCCUACGGGAGGCAGCAGUGGGGAAUAUUGGGCAAUGGGCGAAAGCCUGACCCAGCGACGCCGCGUGAAGGAUGAAGGUCUUCGGAUUGUAAACUUCUUUGAUCAGGGAAGAAAGAAAUGACGGUACCUGAAGAACAAGCCACGGCUAACUACGUG
rnacentral:rRNA from 1 species